GAUGAACGCUGGCGGCGUGCCUAAUACAUGCAAGUCGAGCGAAGCGGGGACGGGUGAGUAACACGUGGAUAACCUCCUAUAAGACUGGGUUACCUUCGGGAAACCGGACCUAAACCGGAUACUGCUAGAAGGGUCCUGGCUGCAUUAGCUGGUUGGUAAGGUAACGGCUUACCAAGGCAACGAUGCAUAGCCGACCUGAGAGGGGGAGCGGCCACACUGGAACUGAGACACGGUCCAGACUCCUACGGGAGGCAGCAGUAGGGAAUCGUGCGCAAUGGGCGAAAGCCUGACGGAGCAACGCCGCGUGAGUGAUGAAGGUCUUCGGAUCGUAAAACUCUGUUAGUAGGGAAGCGUUACCUAAUCAGAAAGCCACGGCUAACUAUGUGCCAGCAGCCGCGGUAAUAC
rnacentral:rRNA from 1 species